UACGUAGGGAGCAAGCGUUGUCCGGAAUCAUUGGGCGUAAAGCGCGCGUAGGUGGCCCUGUAAGUCCGUUGUGAAAGUCAAAGGCUCAACCUUUGAAAGCCGAUGGAUACUGCAGGGCUAGAGUCCGGAAGAGGCGAGUGGAAUUCCUGGUGUAGCGGUGGAAUGCGCAGAUAUCAGGAGGAACACCAAUGGCGAAGGCAGAUCUCUGGGCCGUAACUGACGCUGAGGAGCGAAAGCGUGGGGAGCGAACAGG
rnacentral:rRNA from 1 species